UACAGAGGGUGCGAGCGUUGUCCGGAAUCACUGGGCGUAAAGGGCGCGUAGGCGGUCUGCUAAGCGUGUGGUGAAAGCUCGGGGCUCAACCCCCGAGUCGGCCAUGCGAACUGGUGGACUGGAGCAUGUCAGAGGCAGGCGGAAUUCCGGGUGUAGCGGUGGAAUGCGUAGAGAUCCGGAAGAACACCGGUGGCGAAGGCGGCCUGCUGGGACAUUGCUGACGCUGAGGCGCGACAGCGUGGGGAGCAAACAGG
rnacentral:rRNA from 1 species